UACGGGGGAUGCAAGCGUUAUCCGGAUUUAUUGGGUUUAAGGGGUGCGUAGGCGGUCUGUCAAGUCGGCGGUGAAAACAGCAUGCUAAACAUGGUGCUUGCCGUCGAGACUGGUGGGCUUGAAUGUGGAUGAUGCCGGCGGAAUGUGUAAAGUAGCGGUGAAAUGCAUAGAUAUUACACAGAAGGUCGAUUGCGAAAGCAGCUGGCAAAGGCACUAUUGACGCUGAGGCACGAAAGUGCGGGGAUCGAACAGG
rnacentral:rRNA from 1 species